GAUGAACGCUGGCGGCGUGCCUAACACAUGCAAGUCGAGCGAGAAAUAUUUAACGGAUCCUUCGGGUGAAGUUAAAUAUGGAUAGCGGCGGACGGGUGAGUAACGCGUGGGAAACCUGCCUUAUACAAGAGGAUAGCCUCGGGAAACCGUGAUUAAUACUCUAUGAAGCUCUAGUAGCGCAUGCUACAUGAGUCAAAGAUUUAUCGGUAUAAGAUGGUCCCGCGUCCCAUUAGCUAGUUGGUGGAGUAAUAGCCUACCAAGGCGACGAUGGGUAGCCGGCCUGAGAGGGUGAACGGCCACACUGGAACUGAGACACGGUCCAGACUCCUACGGGAGGCAG
rnacentral:rRNA from 1 species